UUGAUUCUGCAUUUGGUUCGUGAGAUUAAGUUGUGCGGUCCAGUAUUUAUGUGGUGGUGCUACCCUUUUGAACGACACAUGGGUACACUGCAAGAUAAAGUAAGAAAUCCAGCCCAUCCGGAAGGCAGUAUUAUACAAGGAAUUGUGUCCGAGGAGAUUGGGAAUUUUGUGGCAGAGUAUGUUGCCGUUGCCGAACCUAUUGGGCUUCCUACAUCCCGACAUGAAGGGAGACUUGAUGGUCAUGGCAUAGUCGGGUCAAAAAGGAUCUGGGCUUCUCGAGAUCAAAUCAUGCAAGCUCAUUUAUUUGUGCUUCAUCAUAUUGCGGAGGUUAACCCAUAUUUAGAAGAGCACAUGGAUAGUUUGCGUGUUGAAUAUCCAUCAAAAGGGAAAAGAGCACUAAUGCAGUUGCAUAAUAAGAUGUUUGUGAAGUGGUUCCAUGAUCGUGUGAUGAGUCAAUUGAAUGAGACUGUGUCUGAUACAAUAAAGUGGCUAGCUUAUGGUCCGAAGGAAGAUGUUCAUUCAUUUGAGGGAUAUGAUAUAAAUGGGUACACAUUUUGGACUGAAAGUCGGGAUCAGAAAUCCUCAUCGACUCAAAAUAGUGGUGUCACUCUUGUGGCUUCAUCAAGAGAGUUUGCCAGUGCGAAGGAUACAUCACCAGUUGACGCACUAUUAUCAUACUAUGGACGAAUUUAGGAAAUAUGGGAACUAGAUUACCGUGACUUCAAGGUUGGUAUAUUCAAGUGUAAAUGGGUCGAUAAUAAUAGGCGCAACGUGAGAAAUGAUGACUUCACUCUUGUAAAUCUUGGCCACUUGCGGGAUAGUCUUGAACCAUUCAUCCUUGCAUCUCAAGCUAAGCAAGUGUUCUAUAUAACUGACCCGUCCGAUCCAAGAUGGUCCAUCGUCCUAUCUAGAAAAAGGAGAAUUUUAGGGGUUGGAGAGGUUGAGGACGAGGAAGAAUAUGAUGCAUUUGCUGAUUCGCCCCCUUUCACUACUCCUACACUUGAUGUAGCAACUGAUGUAGAUGAUGAUGCUACUUAUAUUCGAUCUGACCACAAUGAGGGAAUACACUAAUGAGGUACUUUUAUUAAUGCAUGUUUCAUUUACUAAAUAUCUUAUGCUCCAACAAGUUUGUUUUUAUUUUGGGAAGUGUUUUAUUUUUUUUGUAUUUUCAACGUAUAAGCACGUAAUAUUCACUAAAUAUAUGAAUUGUUUAGAGGAUUAUAUGUGAAUUUGUUAUGAAACCAAAGAAUUUGGGUAAGUGUUUAUCUUUCAUCGUGCCUCAAAAAUUGAUUGCCAUUACUGAUGACUAACAACAUGCUUUGCUUGUUUACUUUAGGUGUGCACAUAUCAUGGAUCCUGAUGAGAACCUUCAUUCUGAUGAGGAUAUAGAUGAUGAUUCUGGGGACGAGUUGUAUGAUGUUACUAAGGAGACGGAUAUGGGGGAACCGGAAGACCAAGCUUAUGACCAGUUCCAACAUAAGCUUGAUGAAUUUGAGCGUGUAGCUGAAGCUGCCCCACCUAUUAAUGAUAAUGUGGUUACCGAAUUUGUAGGUGAUUCACAUUGUGAAACUCAAAUGCAAAGGCAAGUGAAAAAAACCGGUGGUGGAGGAGGGGUAAAGCCAUCGGUGAACAGAAAGAGUAGGGGUGCAACUAAAGCUUUCAAGCACCCAUUACAUCUCGGUCGGGAUCGAUUCUAUAGUUGCUGGGUUUGAGGACUUACCACUACCGGUGCCUAGAGAGGAAUAUGAUUUUUUUAAGCUGUGUGACGCGACCGGGAGCUUUGUGCAAUGGCCACGUGAUCGGUUGAGGUUGGUAGGAGGGGUAAGUAAACAAUACUUGUAUGUAACUACUUGUAUGUAACUAGAUUAACAUGUGCUUUGUGCAAUGACCAUGUUUUUUUAUGCUACUAGAUUACUAUGGAAAUUCAGUCCGCUAAAAGAAAGAAGGUGGAGAAGCAAAAAUCCAAGGAAGAAGGUCCAACGAAGAUGGAACAAGGAGCAAAAAUCCAAGGAAGAAGGUCCAACGAAGAUGGAACUAGGACAAGUGUCGAAGAAGAGUUCGAGAGCUUCAUGUACUCCACUAGUAGAAGCCAAAGUCCUUAGGUCGCUUUCGAAAGCAUGUACUUUUCUUCACAACCGUGCUAGUGAGUUGCCUACGGGUACACAUAUUCAAGUGAACUUGCCUAAGGCAUUGUUCCACUAUGAUGAGGAUGCGAUCGCAUACAUUUCUAGAGAGGAUGUGACGGAAUUUCUAACCGGUUCCAUGCUUAACAUAUCCAUCAUUCAAACAUUCAUGAGGUCACUACAGGAGCUCCUUGCUAGUAAACCCGAUGGUGAAGCAGCAGUUGGGUGGUUAUGCCCCGAGCAGACCUCCGUAACCAAAUGCUUGAAUAACCCUCGUGAUGUGAUAUAUUACCUUUAGCGGGCUAUUAGAGAAUCAAUGCGUGCGGGAAACAAGUUCUUAUUAGCCCCUUGUUUUGAGGAUCUACAUUGGAGCCUUAUGGUGAUUUGUGUUUCCAAUAACACAAUCUACUACUUUGACUCGGCUCGUAUAUGGCCACCAAGGAAGUUGCUAGUGAAUAACCUAUUGAAUAGUGUUAUGAAGAAGUUGAAUUGUCGUUCGGUUGCGGGUCCCACGUGAAAAUAUGCGAAGUGUGCGCAACAAGACAACGGCGUUGACUGUGCCCUCUACGUGAUGAGGUUUAUGAAUGACAUAGUCAAUAGGUGCAAUGAAGCCCAACACAUUGAGAAGGUUUGUAAAAGGGAAGGCUCUUUGACAAAGGAAGAGGUUGAUGAAAUUCGCGACAUGUGGGUUUUUUUUUGUGACAUUUGAUGGCAUCUAUGUAGAAUAUAUAAUAUAUAUGUGUUAGUUAGAUAAUGACUUGGAUUGAGUUUUAUUUUUUUUACUUUUUUUUUAUGAACAAUAAAUAUUAAUAUUUAGUUGUUACCGUAUCUUUUUUAUUUUUAUAUAUAGUACGUAAAUCCAUAUGUACAUUAUAUUACUUAUUUGUAAUUAGUACUAUACAUUAUUUAUGAGUUUUAUAUAUGUUAUUAUUAUUAUGCAUU